rnacentral:rRNA from 1 species
GACGAACGCUGGCGGCGUGCUUAAUACAUGCAAGUCGAACGGAAAGGCCCUGCUUUUGUUGGUUGCUCGAGUGGCGAACGGGUGAGUAACACGUGUGUAACCUGCCCUUGUCUUUGGGAUAACUUCUGGGAACUGGGGCGAAUACCGGGUAGGAUCUCCUGCUGCAUGGUGUGGGUUGGAAAGUUUCGGCGUUUGGGGAUGGACUCGCGGGUUAUCAGCUAGUUUGGGGGGUAGUGGUUUUCCAAGGCUUUGACGGGUAGCCGGCAUGAGAGGGUGACCGGCGACCUGGGGACUGAGAUAGGCACCAGAAUCCUACCGGCGGCAGCAGUGGGGAACCUUGCACAAUGGCCCCACGUCUGAUGCAGAAACGCUGCGUGCGGAAUGCCGGCCUACGAGUUGUAAACCGAUUUCGAAUGUGACGUAGACUGAGUGACGGUAAUGGGUAAAGAAGCCCCGGCUAACUACGUG